rnacentral:rRNA from 1 species
GCGUGAGUGACGAAGGUCUUCGGAUUGUAAAGCUCUUUUGCCAGGGACGAUAAUGACGGUACCUGGAGAAUAAGCCCCGGCUAACUUCGUGCCAGCAGCCGCGGUAAUACGAAGGGGGCUAGCGUUGUUCGGAAUUACUGGGCGUAAAGCGCACGUAGGCGGAUUUGUUAGUCAGGGGUGAAAUCCCGGGGCUCAACCUCGGAACUGCCUUUGAUACUGCAAGUCUAGAGUCCGGAAGAGGUGAGUGGAAUUCCUAGUGUAGAGGUGAAAUUCGU